GUAGCCUCCUGAAGUGGGGAGAUGUUCCUCUGUAUGGGCAGAUGCCUGAAGCCUUCAGAAGAGACCUUGGUCUCCUCCCUGUGCCACCUCUUGUCUGAGCUGAGGCAUCCUCCCACAUGGAGAAAGGAGCUUCAAAAAUCACUGGUCAAUCCAUUCUUCUUCAUGCCUUGUCAGUCCUUGCUAAGAGGGGGUGUGAGACGUUCCCCCCCAUAAGUCACGACUUAGGCGAAUCUCAGGAUCAUCUUCUCAUGGUGGCUUUUAAAAAGGAAGGCUUUGCCUUCCUUUGCCUCAGCCUUUCAGUGAUCCUUUGAGAUCCCCACAUGUUUGUGACCAUUCCUGAGCCCCAAGCUGGAAUUUCUAAAGCACUACCAGCAGCAAGACCAAGCAAAAUAAUGAUGGCUGAGAGCAGAAGGAAGCAGCGUGUGCUCACAGUGUGGAGAACUGCACAUGCAGGUUCUUUGGAUUCCUCAUGCAGAUUAAGGAGUGUCCCUGUAGAGCUGAAACACAGCAGCAAAGCUUCUGGGGCGAAUCAGAUCCCAUCUCCCUGCAGAGCACCAGCAAUGGAAGAAUAGCACUGGGCUGGCAUUGCAUCUUUGCUUUGCAGCCAGGAGCCUGGGGAAAGAAAGGAUCCAGCUUGUCCACCUUUUAAAGGCUGCAAGGAGGGAAGGGAAGACCCACCAGAAGCUCACAGAAAACUGCCACCCAUCUCCAGCUUUUCUUUCCGAGCGAUAAACUCCUCUGAUCUCUGCUGUGCAGAAAGCAGCAUGUGGGGGAUUCUGGUGCCAGCAGCACUUUUUGCUGGAAACCAGGAUGUUUCUGUAAUGAGGAAAGAAACAUUCUUGAGUAUGAAGUUAUCAAACAACUUGACAAAUUCAGAUGCACUAAAUCACCCAGUGUAAACAUCUGUCUGGCCUGCUUUCGUGUGCCUACAGCGAGGGCGGCUUAUCCGCCUCUUGGUGAGAUGCAAUAUCUGUCCUCUGCUGCUAUUUUUAGCUUGUAUUUAUUUGGAGGAGACUGGUACAAUAAUCUCAUCAGGCCUGACUUGCCUUUAAUUCCCCUUAAGACUGUUUGGGGAAGAUGGGCAGUUAAAGCACUGCUGUGGUUGAAGGCCUUGUGCAUGCUGUGAUGUGAAAGCCCCAUGUGUGGUUCCCUGUGAACACUGGAGCUGUUGUUCCCUGGAUCGUUGGUGCUUGGCUGUAUUAGUGACUUGCUUUCUGAUGUUGGGGCAAAUGACUUCACUUCUUCAUUUCCUGUUUACUUUUUUUUUUUUUUUCCUACUGGCAAAAUUGGCUGUUACUGAGUUUUCCUGGCCCUCAUCUUGGGGUGUAGCAGAGAGAGACAUGGCUGGGGUCUGUUAAAAAGCAGAUAUAUUCAAGCAGAAUCCCACUGACCUCACUCAGACUGCUCACAUGUUUUAAAUUAAGUGCAUCCUUAAAUAUUUUCAGGAAUUGGAGCUGGAUUAGUUUAGGCUUGAAUACAUGAAGAAAUGCAUAUGCAUUUGGGACCAGAAGGGAACCUGAAUGUUUUAAACCCAUUAAAUGUAGAAGUACAAUAUUGUGUGUUGGCUUAGGAGCAGGGAAACCAAUUUUGAAGUCAGUAUUCCCUGUUGCUGAGAGGAGGGGAUGCACGGGAGGGGAGCAGAGCUCUUUGGAAAAAGGCAAUCACCACCCUUCAUGCAAGCAAACCUGGUCGCAGAGAGGGCUUGGUGCAGACUCUGAUGACCACUGAUAGGACCUGAGGGAAUGGCCUGAAGCUGAGUCAGAGGAGGUUUAGGUUGGAUAUCAGGAGAAGGUUCUUCCCCCAGACAGUGUUUGGGCACCAGAACACACUCCCCACAGCACCAAGCCUGACAGAGUUCAAGGAAUGU